rnacentral:rRNA from 1 species
GACGAACGCUGGCGGCGUGCCUAAUACAUGCGAGUCGAGCGAAUGGAAGGGAGCUUGCUCCCUAAAGUUAGCGGCGGACGGGUGAGUAACACGUGGGCAACCUGCCUGUAAGACUGGGAUAACUUCGGGAAACCGGAGCUAAUACCGGAUACGUUCUUUCCUCGCAUGAGGAAAGAUGGAAAGAUGGUUUCGGCUAUCACUUACAGAUGGGCCCGCGGCGCAUUAGCUAGUUGGUGGGGUAAUGGCCUACCAAGGCGACGAUGCGUAGCCGACCUGAGAGGGUGAUCGGCCACACUGGGACUGGGACAAGGCCCAGACUCCUACGGGAGGCAGCAGUAGGGAAUCUUCCGCAAUGGACGAAAGUCUGACGGAGCAACGCCGCGUGAGCGAAGAAGGCCUUCGGGUCGUAAAGCUCUGUUGUCAGGGAAGAACAAGUGCCAGAGUAACUGCUGGCACCUUGACGGUACCUGACCAGAAAGCCACGGCUAACUACGUGCCAGCAGCCGCCGUAACAC